AUUACUUUGGCAGAGGAAAGUGCAUUAAAUUUAGAAUUUAUAUAUUAUAUAUGAUAUUAGAUAUAUAAGUAAUA
rnacentral:tRNA from 1 species